rnacentral:rRNA from 1 species
ACGACUACGGGAGGCAGCAGUGGGGAAUAUUGCACAAUGGGCGCAAGCCUGAUGCAGCAACGCCGCGUGAGUGAUGAAGGCCUUCGGGUCGUAAAGCUCUGUCCUCAAGGAAGAAUAAAUGACGGUACUUGAGGAGGAAGCCCCGGGCUAACUACGUGCCAGCAGCCGCGGUAAUACGUAGGGGGCAAGCGUUAUCCGGAAUCACUGGGGCGUAAAGGGGUGCGUAGGCGGUUUUCAAGUCAGAAGUGAAAGGCUAUGGCUCAACCAUAGUAAGCUUUUGAAACUGUUAAACUUGAGUGCAGGAGAGGAAAGUGGAAUUCCUAGUGUAGAGGUGAAAUUCGUAGAUAUUAGGAGGAACACCAGUGGCGAAGGCGACUUUCUGGACUGUAACUGACGCUGAGGCACGAAAGCGUGGGGAGCGAACAGGAUUAGAUACCCUGGUAGCACAGAG